AUUGAACGCUGGCGGCAUGCCUUAUACAUGCAAGUCGAACGGUAGAGGGGGCAACCCCUCGAGAGUGGCGAACGGGUGAGUAAUAUAUCGGAACGUGCCCAGUCGUGGGGGAUAACGUAGCGAAAGUUACGCUAAUACCGCAUACGAUCUAAGGAUGAAAGCGGGGGAUCGCAAGACCUCGCGCGAUUGGAGCGGCCGAUAUCGGAGUAGGUAGUUGGUGGGGUAAAGGCUCACCAAGCCAACGAUCUGUAGCUGGUCUGAGAGGACGACCAGACACACUGGAACUAAGACACGGUACAGACUCCUACGGGAGGCAGCAGUGGGGAAUUUUGGACAAUGGACGCAAGUCUGAUCCAGCCAUUCCGCGUGCAGGAUGAAGGCCCUCGGGUUGUAAACUGCUUUUGUACGGAACGAAAAGGUCUCUCUUAAUACGGGGGACUCAUGACGGUACCGUAAGAAUAAGCACCGGCUAACUACGUGCCAGCCGCCGCUGUAA
rnacentral:rRNA from 1 species